GCUUGUUGUACAAUAUCUGUGGAAAGAUAAAAGAAUCUUCUACUAUCAUUAACACUAGAGGUUUAGUCAUAGUAAGGAAUAAAGGCGAGACUGACUAUCGAAUAUAAAGUAUGUAUCCAGUGAACACAGAAAACUCGGGAAUAACAAUAUACAAAUUUUCUGAUUUAUAUUGGAAAUUUGCUACUGAUAAAAAGGAAAAUGAAUGUAAUUUUCUUCGGCUGUUGAUAAUGGGAUUGCGUGGGUGUUAGAUCAAUAAGUUGUCCAUGCUUUGUGUAUAUUGUGAGUUUGUGUUUACAACGUGAAAGUUAAAUGAAGAUAAAUUGACGAUGUCCUUAUAAUCAAUUGUAAUAUGUUCCACUGACACUUGGGGAAUGAAAAUAAAGGAACAGAAACGACGGAAAUAAAGUAAACUGUUACAGAGACUAAACCACAGCUGAUUUUAAAUAUGGAUAUAUGACUUAUUCAUAUUAAGUACAUGUCUCAAACCAAGUAGGAAGCCUCACAUCUCCGAAAAGUAUCUGCCUACCAUUUUUAUUCCUGACUGAGAGGGUUAAUCUUUGAAGCUUCUUUUGUUAAUAAAUAAAACAACAAAACAAGCGAACCAAUUAUUUUCUUUUACAUAAAGAAUAGAAAUUAA